UACGAAGGGGGGCUAGCGUUGCUCGGAAUCACUGGGCGUAAAGCGUGCGUAGGUGGUUCUUUAAGUCAGGUGUGAAAUCCCUGGGCUCAACCUGGGAACUGCAUUUGAUACUGAAGAGCUAGAGUGUGGUAGAGGAUAGUGGAAUUCCCGGUGUAGCGGUGAAAUGCGUAGAUAUCGGGAGGAACAUCAGUGGCGAAGGCGGCUAUCUGGACCAACACUGACACUGAGGCACGAAAGCGUGGGUAGCAAACAGG
rnacentral:rRNA from 1 species